rnacentral:rRNA from 1 species
CUCCCUCGUUGCUGAUCUCAGGUUCGAUAAUGCCAAAUCGCACCACCUCGCCAAGAACCAGCUUCGGUGAAGCGACGGGCGGUGUGUG